AGGGUUUUUCAAUUGGCGCGGGUCGAUUUUGGCGCCCCGUGGCAGCCAUUUGUUUUGGUGACAUCUGUCAAAUAUUUUGUUUAUUAUUCAGUUGUUUAAGCCAAAUCAUCAUGGCAAGUUACACGAUUAAACAGCACGUUCAAAUGAUAAAACUUUAUUAUCAAUAUGAGUGUUCAUUAACGCAAACGCAAACCCCAGUUUUGGGCGAAAUAUCAUCUUUAGUGAGGAGGCGCAUUUUUGGAUGAAUGGCUGUGUUAACAAACAAAAUUGCUGUAUAUGGGACGACACCAAUCCACACGAGGUUCACCAGAUGAUAAUGCAACCUCAAAAAGUUUGGUGUAAAUUUUGGGCCGGCGGCGUCAUUGGUCCGUACUUUUUUGAAAACGACGUUGGUGAGGCGGUCACCGUCAACACCGAGCGCUACACAACGAUGAUGACCAAUUUCUUAUGGCCCAUAUUGAACCAUAUGGACCUAGACGACAUGUGGUUCCAGCAGGACAGCGCUACGUGCCACACAGCAAACGCCACGAUUGACAUUCUCGCAGGGGUGAUGUGAAUUGGCCAACAAGGUCAUGCGAUUUGACCCCGCUAGACUUUUUCCUGUGGGGUUUCUUGAAGUCGCAAAUAAACCACAGUCGACCGAUGCUCUAAAGGUGAAUAUAACACAGGCCAUCGCUCAAAUUCAGCCGGAUCUAUGCGGAAGAGUCAUUGAAAAUUGGACCACUCGGAUACGUUCCACCGUAAGAAGCCGAGGCGGGCAUUUGAAUGAUGUCAUAUUCCACACUUAAUAGCAUAUAUGCGCCUUUCAAAUAAAAAAAAAAUUUUGUCAAUACCUCA